rnacentral:rRNA from 1 species
CGCGUAGGCGGCGCAGUACGGUCUGGGUGAAAUCCCUCGGCUCAACCGAGGAAUUGCCUGGGCUACAGCUGUGCUAGACAGCAUCAGGGGAAGGUGGAACUCGCGGUGGAGCGGUGAAAUGCGUAGAUAUCGCGAGGAACGCCGGUGGCGAAAGCGACCUUCUGGGGUGCUUGUGACGCUGAGGCGCGAAAGCUAGGGGAGCGAACAGGAUUAGAUACCCUGGUAGUCC